CGGCAGCACGGGUGCUUGCACCUGGUGGCGAGUGGCGAACGCCGUUAGUAAUACAUCGGAACGUACCUUAUCGUGGGGGAUAACGCAUCGAAAGCUGUGCUAAUACCGCAUACGCCCUGAGGGGGAAAGCGGGGGAUCGAAAGACCUCGCGCGAUUAGAGCGGCCGAUGCUUGAUUAGCUUGUUGGUGGGGUAAAAGCCCACCAAGGCGACGAUCAAUAGCUGGUCUGAGAGGACGAUCAGCCACACUGGGACUGAGACACGGCCCAGACUCCUACGGGAGGCAGCAGUGGGGAAUUUUGGACAAUGGGGGAAACCCUGAUCCAGCAAUGCCGCGUGAGUGAAGAAGGCCUUCGGGUUGUAAAGCUCUUUUGUCAGGGAAGAAACACCGGCUCUAACACAGUCCGGGAAUGACGGUACCUGAAGAAUAAGCACCGGCUAACUACGUGCCAGCAGCCGCGGUAAUACGUAGGGUGCGAGCGUUAAU
rnacentral:rRNA from 1 species